CCGCCGUGAUGAUUUGACCACGGUUUCGCGUGUUUCUGAUGUCUGUGACGAUCUCUUCUCUUGGCUGUCUGAGCGG